rnacentral:rRNA from 1 species
AUUGAACGCUGGCGGCAGGCCUAACACAUGCAAGUCGAACGAGUGGCGGACGGGUGAGUAAUGUCUGGGAAAAUGCCUGAUGGAGGGGGAUAAAUACUGGAAACGGUAGCUAAUACCGCAUACCAUCAGAUGUGCCCAGAUGAGAUUAGCUAGUAGGGGGGGUAACGGCUCACAAAGGCGAAGAACACGAGCUGGUCUGAGAGGAUGACCAGCCACACUUGAACUUAGACACGGUCCAGAGUCCUACGGGAGGCAGCAGUGGGGAAUAUUGCACAAUUGGCGCAAGCCUGAUGCAGCCAUGCCGCGUGUAUGAAGAAGGCCUUCGGGUUGUAAAGUACUUUCAGCGGGGAGGCGUUACCCGCAGAAGAAGCACCGGCUAACUCCGUGCCAGCAGCCGCGGUAAUUC